UACGGAGGAUGCAAGCGUUAUCCGGAUUCAUUGGGUUUAAAGGGUGCGUAGGCGGGCUAUUAAGUCAGUGGUGAAAUCCUGCAGCUUAACUGCAGAACUGCCGUUGAUACUGAUAGUCUUGAGUUUGGUUAAGGUAGGCGGAAUGUGUAAUGUAGCGGUGAAAUGCUUAGAUAUUACACAGAACACCAAUUGCGUAGGCAGCUUACUGAGCCGACACUGACGCUGAGGCACGAAAGCGUGGGGAUCAAAAAGG
rnacentral:rRNA from 1 species